CGCACUUAUUGAAGCAACAUUAUCAAGCUCGUGAGUCAUGAUCAAGCAAAUUAUUUGGCAGGAGAAAUCGGUGCGAAGUAAGCUCCAAGAGAGAAGUCCUGAUGUUGGUUUUGAUCACAAGUCCUUGUAUCUCACCUUCAUCGUAGAUUCGUAGUAACAGUUCACAGAUAAGAUAUGCUCAUCGCAGGUAUGGUUUAAAUCAAACUGCAAAACAAUUCAGUUUUAUAAUAAUUGUAAUCAAAUAAAACAUUUACACAUAAAAAGACUAACCAAGUCUAAACCGAAUUUAACAAAAAACUGUAUACAUUGAUUGGUAUUCCAAACCGUACACAUUAAACAGGUAUUACAAAGACCUCUUUAAGAGGUAGAAGUGAAGAACACAAUUAGGAUUUGAUAAAGUCGAUGAAGGAAAAGGCCAAAAACAUAGAGUUCGACGACGUACACACUCGGUGAAAUUUUGAUAUUUGUCACCAUGGGUUGAUCCAGCUCUAGGUUGACCAUUUUUGACAUAGUCGAACUUGAUGGACGCUAUACCACCUGUAGAACCUUCUUGUAUAUAGAUCUGUGAAUUGUGAUACACCUUCAUGGACUCCAUCAUCCCAUAUCUACUCGCAAUCAUAUAUAUAAAAGGGUAUAAAAGUAAUGUUUCACUA